GCCUACAUGAAGUUGGAAUUGCUGUAAUCGCAGAUCAGAAUGCUGCGGUGAAUACGUUCCCGGGCCUUGUACACACCGCCCGUCACACCAUGAGAGUUGGGAAUACCCGAAGCCUGUGAGCCAACAGUAACUGAGGCAGCAGUCGAAGGUAGAAUCAAUGAUUGGGGUGAAGUCGUAACAAGGUAUC
rnacentral:rRNA from 1 species